rnacentral:rRNA from 1 species
UACGUAGGGGGCAAGCGUUGUCCGGAAUCAUUGGGCGUAAAGAGCGUGUAGGCGGCCCGAUAAGUCCGCUGUGAAAGUCCAGGGCUCAACCCUGGAAUGCCAGUGGAAACUGUCGGGCUGGAGUCCGGAAGAGGCGAGUGGAAUUCCUGGUGUAGCGGUGAAAUGCGCAGAUAUCAGGAGGAACACCAAUGGCGAAGGCAGCUCGCUGGGACGGUACUGAUGCUGAGACGCGAAAGCGUGGGGAGCAAACAGG